GUGCUUGCUUCAGCAGCACAUAUAAUAAAAUUGGAAUGAUACAGAGAAGAUUAGGAUGGCCCCUGUGCAAGGAUGAUAUGCAAAUUUGUGAAGCAUUCUGUAUUUUU
rnacentral:snRNA from 1 species